rnacentral:rRNA from 1 species
UACGUAGGGGGGCAAGCGUUGUCCGGAAUCAUUGGGCGUAAAGCGCGUGUAGGCGGCUGGCUAAGUCCGCUCUGAAAGCCCGGGGCUCAACCCCGGGAGGCGGGUGGAUAACUGGCCAGCUCGAGUCCGGAAGAGGAGUGUGGAAUUCCUGGUGUAGCGGUGAAAUGCGCAGAUAUCAGGAGGAACACCAAUGGCGAAGGCAGCACUCUGGGACGGUACUGACGCUGAGACGCGAAAGCGUGGGGAGCGAACAGG